GACACGGGCAGCGCUCUGCAGACCCCAGACCCGCACCGGCACCGUCCCACAGCCACCCCGCUGAUGCACCAGGAAUGAGUUCCUGGGAAAAGUGGAAAACUUUGCAACGUUUCCUCUCCUCUGCAGUACGGCAGGCUCUUUCCAGGACACUGGAGAUGCUGCCCAGCUCCUGCCGGGUGUUCAGGACAGUCUUGCAAGGCUCAGAUCCAGCUUCCAGUCCACAACCUGAAGCGCUCAGGCUCAGAGCAGCAGGGAUGCUCUGCACAGGGAGGAACGGGACAGUUUCCUUGUGACCAGCACCCAGCACACCAGCCCCUCCUUGCUCACAGCCAAACCACCACCCAGGAACCUGCCACAGGAUCCCUCACUGAUGGAGAAAAAGUGCACAGACCCAGAAACGGGAGCCUGGAGGGAGAGACAUCUCCCAGCCAUAGCACAGAGUGAGGGCACCAGCACGGUCCAGUAACUCUUCAAGGUCAGAAACAUCUGGCCAGGCUUCUUCCAGCACAUCCUGUCACACUAGGUGAGAUCAGGGAUGAGUUAACUAUGAACAAACAUCCCAAUCAUCCAUCUAUCCCUCGCCACAGCCCCAGAAGCCCUGGCAAUGCUUGAGCACCGCAGGUAAAUGGUGUUAAAUCACAGUCCUGGACAACCAGGAAGCAGCACACAGGUGGGGUGGCCACUGCCCAGGGAUACAUGGUCAUUUCUAAGGCACUUCAAUAUGUUCCUCCCUCCAGGCUUAGAAAAAACUCUUCCUGUCAUUUAUUCAGCUGAAUCCAUUUGCUGACAUUCUCAGUGACUUUCAUCUUGCCACCCAUCAAAAUUAAAGCUUUAUCGCAGUCAAUUUACUAUCCCAGUCAAUUUACUUGCCCCUGAAGUAAAAUACAGCCUGCGACUGCAUGUUUCAGUGCACAGCAUCCCCAGCUACCCAGCAUAUCCCACACCACAGGACACACAAAACCAAGCAGUUCUACUGAUGGAACACGCAAACAACCCACCCUGCAGUCCCAGCUCUGCAGAACCUCUGUUAACACGAGCAGAGCGUGCACAACCCAGCCCUGCCAUGUCCUUCCCUCCUUCACCACUCAUCCCGCAACAGCAUUGAGACCACGACUUGUGCUGUUUCUCUCUGGCACUGCUGAGCCUGCAGCUCUCCCCAGCACACACAGCAGUGGUGAGUGGUGUUUAUAUGUCACCUCGUCUCUUAGGAGCUCCCCAGGGUCACACGAAGCCUCCCCUCUCCAGGUCUGUAUUGCAAAAUGCUCUUAAGAGGCAAAAGGAAAGACAAACAGGACAGCAGCAAAAAGCACCGUCUCUCUAAAGCAGGCAGUCUCACAGGUUUGGGUAAAAGAAUCCCACUAGGUAGGGUUUUUCCAAAUUAAAAAUAAUAACAAUACUAACAGAAAAGGUAAAGAAGAAUCUCUGUGGGACUCUGGGACUCCCCCACAUCCUCCUCCCAGAGUCUCACUGUUUGUAAAAAUCACUCUUAACUCCCAAACCCAGCAGAACCACGUCUGCUCCACCCUGCAGCACAAGGCACCAGCAGGGAGCCCCGAGGUCGAUCAUGAUCCCGCAGGAGCUGGGUGGGCAUCACCAACAUCCCGCAAAGGGCAUGCGGGAGGCACAGCCCCUCAAGUCCUCCAAGAGCCACCUGGUUCAGGGGUGACAACCAGGCACCUGCACAGCCACGAUCCAUCCUUCACCCAGCAGACAGAGCAGCGCUGCAAACCAAGUGGAGAAAUCACCUGAGCACUCCUGCGUGAGCCCCAGCUGCUCCAUGGCUCCCACGCGGGACGGUCACUCUCUCCAGCAAUGUCAAGCACCAGUGUCCUGUGCUCAAGCUGCGAUUCAGCUGCCACGAGCCUUUGACCUUGGCACCACUGUAAAGGAGAAGGGGAAAAAAAAACCCAAAACCAGUAUAUAAAUGAUCCAAGCAAGCAGAGCUCCACUGCUGGGAAGUUACAAAUUAAAUUGCAUGCUGGAAAGAGAUAGUGGUGAUGCAUGCAACAGCCUCUUUCUCUACUGGCUCCCAACAGCGAGGUGCCAACUCUUUCUAACUUCCCUCUUAACAUUCAAACCCCCGGGGACUGACCUUAACCUGCAUUUCUAUUAGAGUCUCCAGCAAACUGCACAUUCAGCUGGUUGGCUCGGGAGUUAAUGACUUUCUUUUAAAAUUUAACACAGUUCUCCAUCACAAAUUUCAGUUUGCCAGCACUAGGAUCUGCCUUUGGCUGGGUAUUCAAAUCUAAACAUGUGCUUAGACAGUUAUUCCAGGCAAAAGGGUAACAUGCAAACAGAAAAUCCAUGAGAUUGAAGCUGGCUUUGAAAUUAGAGAAAUUAAAUCAGACAGGGAAAAAUUACUUCCAUGGUAAGAGGAUUGGAACAGAAAGGGUUAGUGCUAUUUCUGGGCAAUCCUGCGGGCAGAUUUCUGGGAUUAGCAAAGCCUGACACACAGGGCAGACACACAAACCCCAGCACUUCCCCAGGAGUGGGGCUGCUGCAGCCCCUCAUCCCCAGGGUCCACAGCAGCAUCGAGCUCCUGUCCCCAACACCACCCCUGCAGCAAGCACAGCUGAGCAGUUCCCUGAAAAACACCAGUGAGGAACCCAACAGAGACACAAAUGGGCUGAUUACUGAAGUAUUUUACACUCCGGGACCAAAGAAAGGUUUUCUCUGCUCCAAGGGUAUCUUUGGAAACAUCACAUCUGCUCUGCUCGCAUCCCAGAGUCUGCGCAGCCUGUCACAGCCCAAACGUGUGGGACACCCGUGGCUGCACCCGCAGCAGCACGUCCCUCGCUGCUGCAGCGCUGGCUGCUCGCAGCACGACCUGUCACGACAGAGGCACUUGGGGCUUAGUGCUCCUGCAAAAUCGCACCUCCCAGCAGGGAACGAACGCUGCACUGGGUGUGAUUCUGCAUCACUGAACCGGCACUGACCCAAUGCUGGCAAAUGCCUCGUGAGCUGCUCCUGCCCAAAGCACAAAGCCAUCCAUUCGCUCCUCAGCAUCUCCCGCAGCCAGCACAGGAUCCCAACCCAGCACUCAGCUCAGCAUCAGAGUCCCUGCAGUGUUCCAGGUUUUAUAAGAACCCCGCAUUUUCACUCUUCCCAACGUGUUUCACAUUUUUCACCCAUAGCUUUGGGUAACAAACUUUUUUGGCUGAGCACUUUUCUAAACCCAGCUCUCACUGCUCCUUCCUCAAAAAAAUAAACAGUUUGAACGUGCAAAGGGACUAAUCCACGCUGAUCCUCGGCUUUACACUGGUGAGGUGUUGCCAUAAGGACUCAAGAUGCGGGUGGCUUGAGGCACAGCAAGUAUUUGCAGGGAAAGCAGAGGAUCCACAACAAAUUCCACGCGAGCAGGAGCUGUUACAAACCUCCUCAGCUGCCCACAAGGAAUGCAAGCACAGAACAGCCUGUGUGCACAGCUACUUGUUGCUGUGCCAAUCCCAUCUUUCAGCAGGGCCAAGCUUGCUGGACUCUGAAAAAGGUUCAUCUUGUCCCUCACCCCUUUCUAUUGCUAAGGCUAAAUUGGCUGAAAUUGUUCAGACUAAAGGCAGCUACAGCUUGGCUGUGGUUUGUGUUAGUUACUCCAUAAAUCAGCCCCUCUCCGGGAGGCAGAACACAGGGAAACUGCUGAGAGCCAGCAGCUCUUCUUUUAUUUUCAAAUCUCAAAGAUCUUCACCUCACUGGAACAUCCUGAGGCCACAGAAGCUGCCCCGCUGCUUCCCCGCCUGCCCUGCAGCUGGUAAGGGAGACACCCCGGGUUAAUCCCGAGGGAUCCCUGUGAAGCACACCAGUGCUUCCAGUACAAAACUCGCGGGGCUGCCAAACCUCCCCCUGCCUCCCUCCCCAGCGUGGAACAGCAGACAGAGAAGGUACCGGUGAUCAUCGGGAACACAGCCUUCUGGUGUGGAUCGGCCUGUGCUGAGAGGAGGUCCUGACCCACAGCACAACGGCUCACCAGAAACUAUUCUCAUAUUUGUAAUUCUUUUUCCCAUUUGCCAUUUUUAGCCUGCAGAACAGCAGUAGGUUAGGCACACACCUCAUUUAGGAACAUUGCACAAACACUGCACAAUCUUACCACGCCAAGGCUCGGCACUUCUUUGAAGCGGUGGGACUUUCACAACUGAGAUGUUUAACACAUACUCGUUCUCCAGCCUUAAUGUGGAUAAAAAGCCAGCUAAUUACAACAGUACAUAACUUCACAGCACCAUCCUGCCCCAUACAUUCUGAACCCUCAAUUACAUCAGCAAAAAGCAGCACCAUGGGACAUCCCAGGUCUCUUGGGGAACAUCUGACAUCUCAGCAUCCAGUUCUGCAGCAGCCGUGGGGUUGAACAGCUCACCAAGAAGGCAAACUGGGCCAAGCAGCAACGUACUCAAAAAAUAAAUACAGUGGAAGCACGGCAAAAACUUCAACAGCAAGCAGUGAGGUGCAGCUAUCCUGGACAAGACAACCCAGUGCCACAGGUCACUGGUGCAGCUGCUGCCACCUGGAACCUGCUCUGCAGACACUGGGGUUUCCUGAUGCUGAGUCUCGGCUCCCAGCCCCUCGCCGCCGUUACCCCGGCACCGCUUCCUGCGCAAAAGUCAGGCUUUUGAUACUUUUUAUGUCUAUUUUGGACCAACUUGACAAGCAGGUUUCCACUGUCUGAACAGUAACGCUGCUUCGAAGCGGCUGCCUCAGAAAACUGGACACUCAAAGCUCACACACGGAGAGGGUGCAACUAGACACUUCAAGAGGGACAUUCUUCUGAGCCCACAGUGCUGCUGUGGAUUACUGGAUUUUGACAAAUGCUAAGUAGAAAGUCACUGUUAACUUAUUUUGAUGCAAUAAAAAUAAUACAAUAAGCUAA